AGAGUUUGAUUCUGGCUCAGAACGAACGCUGGCGGCGCGUUUUAAGCAUGCAAGUCGAGCGGCAAGGGUCUUCGGGCCCCUAGAGCGGCGGACGGGUGAGUAACACGUGGACAAUCUGCCCCCCGGCCGGGGAUAGCCCAGGGAAACCUGGAUUAAUACCGGAUGAGACGGGACCCGCGGAGGCGGGAUCCGGGAAAGGCGCUGCGGCGCCGCCGGGGGAUGAGUCUGCGUCCCAUUAGCUUGACGGCGGGGUAACGGCCCACCGUGGCGACGAUGGGUAGCCGGCCUGAGAGGGUGGACGGCCACAUUGGAACUGAGACACGGUCCAGACUCCUACGGGAGGCAGCAGCUAAGAAUCCUCCGCAAUGGGCGAAAGCCUGACGGAGCGACGCCGCGUGAACGAAGAAGGCCGUGAGGUUGUAAAGUUCUUUUCGGGAGGGGGAACAACCGUGGCAGGGAAUGGCCGCGGGAUGACGUGAAUCCCGGAAUAAGCCCCGGCUAACUACGUGCCAGCAGCCGCGGUAACACGUAGGGGGCGAGCGUUGUUCGGAAUCAUUGGGCGUAAAGGGCGUGCAGGCGGUCCUGCAAGUCCGGCGUGAAAGACCCCGGCCCAACCGGGGGGGCGCGCUGGAAACUGCAGGGCUUGAGUACAGGAGGGGAUGCCGGAAUUCCAGGUGUAGGGGUGAAAUCUGUAGAUAUCUGGAGGAACACCAAUGGCGAAGGCAAGCAUCUGGCCAUGUACUGACGCUGAGACGCGAAGGUGCGGGGAGCAAACAGGAUUAGAUACCCUGGUAGUC
rnacentral:rRNA from 1 species